CUGCCGCUGCCACCAGACGGCACGCCGCCGCCGGAGGCCGGCGGCUCUGCCUCCUUUCUCUUCCCCCUUUUUCCUAUCUCCUUCUCACCCCUCACUUCUCGCUCUCCUCCCUCAUCUUUCUUCCUCCUCCCUUGCCACCGUCUCGGCCGCACCAGCUACGGCCGUUCCUUUCUCCGGCGGUGACCUUCGCCGCCCGCCAGCGUUACCACCCUAUCCAUGCCUCCCACCUCUCAUCUCCUUCUCGCCGACAACAGCCACGGCAAUAGCAGCAGCUGAUCGGCCCGCCACCUCCCUUUUCAGAUCCGGCGCCACCACUGCCCCUGUCUCUCUCUCUCUCCGCCCUUGCCGCCCCUCGACAGACAGCAGCAGCCGGUCAGGCUGCUUCCCCCCUUUCACCUCUCCGGCGACAACAAUCUUCACCAACAAUUCUUCCAUUCAUUUCCUUUUCUUUUCUUCUAAUUCCUUACUAUUAUUCUUUUAAUUCUUCCCUUUUCUUUUGAUUUUUCAUGUAAAAUUGUUGGAUUAGUGCAUGAGAAAUAAAAUGAUUAUGCUUGGUUGGGCUUCUGUAUAAAGUAGAUGAGAACAAGAUAUAAGAUGAUUGUUUAUUGUGAUGAAAUAAAAGAAUGAAGGUUUCAACGACAUAAAGAAAUUACCGUUUANCGUCCUGGACCGAUUGAGCCGGCCCCUGGCGACUGGUUGCAACCAUAACUUUAACAUGAAAUCGCAUUGUGGCAUACCAAGGACUUUAAUGUCCUGGACCCAUUGAGCGGGCCCCUAGCGAUAUAAUUUAAUGCAACUCACAUAUGGUAAACACAUGAUAUUAAAAUGAACAAGAUUAACCACAGCAUGUACUGAAAUAAAUCCCACACCUGAAUUUUGAACUUGAACUUGAACUUGAAAGUUAAUUCUGAUAAUUCAAAUUAAAAUCCAUGUCCUAGUCGCGCCGCACCUAGUCAGAUAAAUUCAAAUAAUAAACAUAAGGGCCUAAUUGAACUUUAAAAAUAAUAAUAAUAAUAGUACUAGUUAAAUCAUAAAACCUUCAAAAUCAUUGGUCUAAUAAAUAAUAAAAGCACUCUUAUAAAAAUCUGACUCAAGAUUUAAUAAAAUAAAGUCCAAUUAAUAAUGAAAAUCAAAAAAUAAUACAAAUAUGACCUUUAUAAAAUAAUAUGCAAAUGCAAGACCAUUUGAUAAAUAAAUUAGUGCAAUAAUUAAUCAAAUUAUAGCCCAAUCAGUUAAUAAAUUGAGCCCAUUUAAAAAUAAACUAUCCUAGGCCCAAGCCCAAGUCCACUCUUCCAACUCCCCUAAUUUACACACACCCACACCCUAAUUGCUCACAAAACUCACGCAGCCCCCACUUCCCUUUUCUCUCUCUCCCCUCUCUCCCCGGUCUCCCCCUGCCGCCGCCGCCGGACGUCAGCCAGUCGCCGGAGGCCGGCGGCUCUGGCCUCCUUUCUCUUCCCCCUUCUUCCUAUCUCCCUCUCACCCCUCACUUCUCGCUCUCCUCCCUCAUCUUUCUUCCUCCUCCCUUGCCACCGUCUCGGCCGCACCAGCUACGGCCGUUCCUUUCUCCGGCGGUGACCUUCGCCGCCCGCCAGCGUUACCACCCUAUCCAUGCCUCCCACCUCUCAUCUCCUUCUCGCCGACAACAGCCACGGCAAUAGCAGCAGCUGAUCGGCCCGCCACCUCCCUUUUCAGAUCCGGCGCCACCACUGCCCCUGUCUCUCUCUCUCCGCCCUUGCCGCCCCUCGACAGACAGCAGCAGCCGGUCAGGCUGCCUCCCCCCUUUCACCUCUCCGGCAACAACAAUCUUCACCAACAAUUCUUCUACUCCUUUCUUUUCUUUUCUUCUAAUCCCUUACUAUUAUUCUUUUAAUUCCUUCCUUUUCUUUUGAUUAUGCAUAUGCUAUGUAAUGGUUUUUCAAAAGAAACAUUUUUUUCUAAAUAAAACAAGAAAUUGUGAGAGUUUUGGCAAUAUAUAUAUGGUGUCUGCAUAGGCGAAAAUUGAAGAAAAUAGCCAUGAUGAAUUAAAAGGAACUUUUGUUUGUUUUUGAAAAUAAUAAGUUUACCUUUCGAUGCCUGCACUGGAAAGAACAAAUGGAAAUCAAGGAAAAAGAUGAGAAUCAAAGUUUGCUACGUUUUUAUCAAUUUUCUUUCG
rnacentral:lncRNA from 1 species